AUUAAACGCUGGCGGCAUGCUUUACACAUGCAAGUCGAACGGUAACAGGCCGCAAGGUGCUGACGAGUGGCGAACGGGUGAGUAAUGCAUCGGAACGUGCCCAGUCGCGGGGGAUAACGCAGCGAAAGCUGCGCUAAUACCGCAUACGAUCUAUGGAUGAAAGCGGGGGACCGUAAGGCCUCGCGCGAUUGGAGCGGCCGAUGUCAGAUUAGGUAGUUGGUGGGGUAAAGGCUCACCAAGCCAACGAUGUGUAGCUGGUCUGAGAGGACGACCAGCCACACAGGGACGGAGACACGGCCCAGACUCCUACGGGAGGCAGCAGUGGGGAAUUUUGGACAAGGGGCGCAAGCCUGAUCCGGCAAUGCCGCGUGCAGGAAGAAGGCCUUCGGGUUGUAAACUGCUUUUGUACGGAACGAAACGGUCCCGGUUAAUACCUGGGGCUAAUGACGGUACAGUAAGAAUAAGCACCGGCUAACUACGUGCCAGCCGCCGCAGUAAGAC
rnacentral:rRNA from 1 species